rnacentral:rRNA from 1 species
ACGACGAUGCCCACUUGUGGGUGGAUUAGUGGCGAACGGGUGAGUAACACGUGAGUAACCUGCCCUUGACUCUGGGAUAAGCCUGGGAAACUGGGUCUAAUACCGGAUAUGACCUUCCAUCGCAUGGUGGUUGGUGGAAAGCUUUUGUGGUUUUGGAUGGACUCGCGGCCUAUCAGCUUGUUGGUGGGGUAAUGGCCUACCAAGGCGACGACGGGUAGCCGGCCUGAGAGGGUGACCGGCCACACUGGGACUGAGACACGGCCCAGACUCCUACGGGAGGCAGCAGUGGGGAAUAUUGCACAAUGGGCGCAAGCCUGAUGCAGCGACGCCGCGUGAGGGAUGACGGCCUUCGGGUUGUAAACCUCUUUCAGUAGGGAAGAAGCGAAAGUGACGGUACCUGCAGAAGAAGCGCCGGCUAACUACGUGCCAGCAGCCGCGGUAAUACGUAGGGCGCAAGCGUUAUCCGGAAUUAUUGGGCGUAAAGAGCUCGUAGGCGGUUUGUCGCGUCUGCCGUGAAAGUCCGGGGCUCAACUCCGGAUCUGCGGUGGGUACGGGCAGACUAGAGAAUCACUAGUG